rnacentral:rRNA from 1 species
UACGGAGGGUGCGAGCGUUGUCCGGAAUCACUGGGCGUAAAGGGCGCGUAGGCGGCCCUGCAAGCGUGUGGUGAAAGCCCGGGGCUCAACCCCGGGUCGGCCGUGCGGACUGCGGGGCUCGAGCACUGUAGGGGCGGGUGGAAUUCCUGGUGUAGCGGUGGAAUGCGCAGAUAUCAGGAGGAACACCAAUGGCGAAGGCAGCUCUCUGGUACAUGAUUGACGCUGAGACGCGAAAGCGUGGGGAGCGAACAGG